rnacentral:rRNA from 1 species
UACGGAGGGUGCAAGCGUUGUCCGGAUUUAUUGGGUUUAAAGGGUGCGUAGGUGGCACGUUAAGUCAGUUGUGAAAUCCCCGGGCUCAACCCGGGAACUGCUUCUGAUACUGGCGUGCUUGAGGCCAGUAGGGGUCACUAGAACUGACGGUGGAGCGGUGAAAUGCGUAGAUAUCGUCAGGAAUGCCGGUGGUGAAGACGGGUGACUGGGCUGGUUCUGACACUGAGGCACGAAAGCGUGGGGAGCAAACAGG